rnacentral:rRNA from 1 species
GAUGAACGCUGGCGGCGUGCCUAAUACAUGCAAGUCGAGCGAACAGACGAGGAGCUUGCUCCUCUGACGUUAGCGGCGGACGUGUGAGUAACACGUGGAUAACCUACCUAUAAGACUGGGAUAACUUCGGGAAACCGGAGCUAAUACCGGAUAAUAUAUUGAACCGCAUGGUUCAAUAGUGAAAGACGGUUUUGCUGUCACUUAUAGAUGGAUCCGCGCCGCAUUAGCUAGUUGGUAAGGUAACGGCUUACCAAGGCAACGAUGCGUAGCCGACGUGAGAGGGUGAUCGGCCACACUGGAGCUGAGACACGGUCCAGACUCCUAAGGGAGGCAGCAGUCGGGAAUCUUACGCAGUGGGCGAAAGCAUGACGGAGCAACGCCGAGUGAAUGAUGAAGGUCUUCGGAUCGUAAAACUCUGUUAUUAGGGAAGAACAAAUGUGUAAGUAACUAUGCACGUCUUGACGGUACCUAAUCAGAAAGCCACGGCUAACUACGUG